rnacentral:rRNA from 1 species
GGGUGGUAAUGCCGGAUGCUCCAUCACACCGCAUGGUGUGUUGGGAAAGCCUUUGCGGCAUGGGAUGGGGUCGCGUCCUAUCAGCUUGAUGGCGGGGUAACGGCCCACCAUGGCUUCGACGGGUAGCCGGCCUGAGAGGGCGACCGGCCACAUUGGGACUGAGAUACGGCCCAGACUCCUACGGGAGGCAGCAGUGGGGAAUAUUGCACAAUGGGCGCAAGCCUGAUGCAGCGACGCCGCGUGAGGGAUGGAGGCCUUCGGGUUGUAAACCUCUUUUGUUAGGGAGCAAGGCAUUUUGUGUUGAGUGUACCUUUCGAAUAAGCACCGGCUAACUACGUGCCAGCAGCCGCGGUAAUACGUAGGGUGCAAGCGUUAUCCGGAAUUAUUGGGCGUAAAGGGCUCGUAGGCGGUUCGUCGCGUCCGGUGUGAAAGUCCAUCGCUUAACGGUGGAUUCGCGCCGGGUACGGGCGGGCUUGAGUGCGGUAGGGGAGACUGGAAUUCCCGGUGUAACGGUGGAAUGUGUAGAUAUCGGAAAGAACACCA